rnacentral:tRNA from 1 species
GAGGGUGGAGCUCAGUGGUAGAGCACAUGCUUAGCAUGCAUGAGGUCCUGGGUUCAAUCCCCAGUACCUCUA